AACUGACGCUGAAGCUCGAAAGUGCGGGUAUCGAACAGGAUUAGAUACCCUGGUAGUCCGCACGGUAAACGAUGGAUGCCCGCUAUUCGCUCGAAUGAGUGAGUGGCCAAGCGAAAGCAUUAAGCAUCCCACCUGGGGAGUACGCCGGCAACGGUGAAACUCAAAGGAAUUGACGGGGGCCCGCACAAGCGGAGGAACAUGUGGUUUAAUUCGAUGAUACGCGAGGAACCUUACCCGGGCUUGAAUUGCAGAUGAACGAUCCAGAGAUGGUGAGGCCCUUCGGGGCAUCUGUGAAGGUGCUGCAUGGUUGUCGUCAGCUCGUGCCGUGAGGUGUCGGCUUAAGUGCCAUAACGAGCGCAACCCCUGUUCUUAGUUGCCAUCAGGUAAUGCUGGGCACUCUGGGAAUACUGCCACCGUAAGGUGUGAGGAAGGUGGGGAUGACGUCAAAUCAGCACGGCCCUUACGUCCGGGGCUACACACGUGUUACAAUGGCCGGUACAGAGAGUUGGUCGUGCGCAAGUACGGUCUAAUCCAUAAAACCGGUCUCAGUUCGGACUGGGGUCUGCAACCCGACCCCACGAAGCUGGAUUCGCUAGUAAU
rnacentral:rRNA from 1 species